rnacentral:rRNA from 1 species
UACGAGCGGCCCAAACGUUAUUCGGAAUUACUGGGCUUAAAGAGUUCGUAGGCGGCAUUGCAAGUCGGGUGUGAAAGCCCUCGGCUCAACCGAGGAAUUGCGCUCUAAACUGCAGUGCUUGAGGAACCUAGAGGUGAGCAGAACAGAUGGUGGAGCGGUGAAAUGCGUUGAUAUCAUCUGGAAUACCGGAGGCGAAGGCGGCUCACUGGGAGUUUUCUGACGCUGAGGAACGAAAGCCAGGGUAGCGAACGGG